rnacentral:misc_RNA from 1 species
GCACCUUCCGCUUCUUGUCUUCGCCUGGGGGUUUGCCUAGUGCGGCUGAGCUCGAGCUACAGUGCAACCAUUGCAGCACAUAGGCGAGAAAGAGGAGACGCACAUUCUCCUGUUAGCGCAACAGAGAGUAAGACAACAUCACGCCACACGCAUGCAGUCCAAGCCUCCAGGUGCAGAGCGAGGCACAGUCAUUUUUUUCGCUGUGGCAGCGCUUUUAGCAUCAGAAGCCUGGGAAAAGGAGCAGAAGGAUUAUCUGCUUGCCUUUGUCAUCAUUGAUCUCCCCGCCCCUGACUCUCCUCACCGGGAGCACGUGAGCCGGCGGCUAGCCGUCCCCGAAUUUCGUCUUGUCGCGGAUACUGCAGUGCCUGUCCUGAUUUUUUCCGGUUUCUUUGCACACGCCACCGCUCCUAUCGCGUCUAUUCAUUUUCCCCCUUCUUUUUCUACUCAUUCGCCCUGCAGUCCGGCAUCCGUGUGUUGCUUGAAAGUUGUUUUGCGUCUGUCUGCAUUCCCUGCGUGGUUGUCUGAGAGUGCGGGUGUGCGCAUGUACAACCUUCGGCCCUGAGCCGUGAGACCAUUCAAGCCACCUCGCCAAGGCCCAGAGCAUUUAUCAGCUUGUCUGCCUUCUGUUGCCUCGUUUCUUCUGUUCUGUUUUCGGUUCUCCCCUUCCGCCACCAAGAGGGACACGCCCUCUCCCCUCAUUUUCUGCUCGUACUCUCCCUGUCACUUGUACCCUUCGGUGCGCGCACGGUGCGCUGGUGGAUAUCCUCUCACUGUGCGGCUUUUUCGUUUUUCGUAACGGUCUGAGCUCGUCCCUCACACCUCCCAUUCACUCCUUCCUCCCGUUGCUUGUUCUUCUUAUCGUCACGCGUUAGUGGUCUGAGCACAGGCGCCCAUCGCGCUGUCGCAUAAUAUCGCGUUGGUGGGCUGCUUAUGGGUGAUUGUUUAGUGUUUUGGGGUCUCUCGCUUCUUCCUUUUCUUUUCUCCACUACUCCUCGUGCGUCGUUGGGAGCGUCAUCCCGGGCGUGCCACUGAUAGCCCUACAAAACCGCGCCACCCUAUCCCUAAGAGCCAGGAAAGUACGCCGCCAGGCCACAGACGUCUCGUCUGUGGCGCUGCUACUUCUUGCUGUCUCAGCUUUAAGCUGAGCCUGUAUGCUCUUGAGCACAGAAGCAAGCGGGAAAGCACAGCGAGCCAGAGCCUGCCGUUCGCUUCGCCGAACUCUCCGUGUGCACGUGUGCGUGUGCGCCUGGGAGCUCUCAACGUCGUGCGAACAUCGUGCGUGCUUUUACUUUCUUUGUUUUUUUUUUUGCUUGGCGCCGGCGGUCCGGGCUUCCCAUCGCCUCCCUCCUCCCCUUCCCUCCUACCACGUGCCCGGCCCCUCCGCACCCGAACAUCUCUCAG